AAUGAACGUUAGCGGCGUGCCUGAUGCAUGCAAGUCGAACGCUCUGGUAAUCCGUAAGGGUUAUCGGGGAGUGGCGAACGGCUGAGUAACGCGUAAGUGACCUACCUUUGAGUGGGGGUAACUUGCCGAAAGGCAAGCUAAUACCGCAUGUGCUGGUAAGUUAAAUCAUAUUUAUUAGUAAAGCCUUCGGGCGCUUGAAGAUGGGCUUGCGUCUGAUUAGCUAGUUGGUAGGUAAUGGCCUACCAAGGCUAUGAUCAGUAGCUGGUCUGAGAGGACAACCAGCCAGACGGGGACUGAGAUACGGCCCUGACUCCUACGGGAGGCUG
rnacentral:rRNA from 1 species